CGAAGGUGCAAGCGUUAUUCGGAAUCAUUGGGCGUAAAGCGCGCGCAGGCGGAUUGACAAGUCAGGUGUGAAAUCUCGGGGCUCAACCUCGAAACUGCGCCUGAAACUGUUAGUCUAGAGUGUCGGAGGGGUAGGGAAUUUCACGUGUAGGGUAAAUCCGUAGAGAUGUGAAGGAACACCGGGGGCGAAGGCGCCUACCUGGACGACUACUGACGCUGAGGCGCGAAAGCGUGGGGAGCAAACAGGAUU
rnacentral:rRNA from 1 species